AGUGGCUCUUCACAUUCUGACUAAUACAAACCGUCAAACCCUUCAACUGUUAACGUGAAAUCUUGUUACAAAACCAGUUCUCAGUGCUGCCGAGGUUUGCCUUUAUCUUUCUUAACUGCAUUUUUAUUUUCUUCGCUUCUUUUGGGUUGAUGCUCCAGUGUACAAAUGCGUUGAUCUCCUUGGAUAUGGGCUCAUUGGUUGCUGGUGCCAAGUUUCGUGGAGAUUUUGAGGAAAGGUUGAAAGCUGUGUUGAAGGAGGUUACUUCUUCAAAUGGGCAGAUUAUCUUAUUCAUUGAUGAGAUCCAUCAGGCAAUGGAGACGCCACAUCGGUCUCUGAUCGGAUAAAUUCUCACAGGUUUGCCCACUCUAAGUCAGUUUCGCGGUCGCCGCUCUCUAAUGGAAUAGACCCGCCACAAAAUCCGGAGGUAUUAGUGCAUGAAUCUUGCUUUUCCUUAUCGCAUGUGACAGGUCAUUAUCAAAUCUUGAUUUUAAUAUUUUUUGUCUCUGUACAUUUAGCAUUUAUACAUGAUAUUUGAUUGUUUACAUAUGUUUGUGGGGAUUUCAAAUUUCUUAAUCGUAUGGGUGUUUCUUGGGCUGCGUUCCUUGCUCUUCAUGGGUUGUUUUUUUUCUACCUUAUAAUUUGUAGCACUGGAGUUGAAGAAGUUGGGACUAUUGAUGUUCGUGCAGCUAAGGAUCUGCUUGACUUUGGCUAUGGCUAUCUUGAUGCUAGGUAUUGAAUAUUAAUUGGUUUCAUAAGCAGACACACGGAAACGAUGAGGUAAUUUUUCAAAUUUUCAAAUUUUUAUUAUUGAUUUUUUUUGUAAUUUGUAGAAGCUGUUAGAUUUAUGGGGUUUUGAUUCUGAAUUAUGUGUAUGAUUAAGUUAUUAGUUUGAUAGAGCUUUAAUUGAUGAUAGAAAUAUUGAUAAUUGUACAUCAUUAUUUUAUCUAACUCUUUGGUUGGAUCAAAAUGUUAACAGCGCUAGAGAGGUGGUAGUCUCAGGUUCAAUAUCGUCCCUUCAUUUGUCAUACAUAUAAAACCAAGCUUUUCGUUUCAUUUAUCCAAAGUUUUUUAAUAUUCUUUUUUCUCUGAUUGUGCAGGUCCAGUUUUACAACUUCUGUAACGAUAGUUCCUGUUACAAUAGAUUUAUUUUGUAUUUUUUUGGGGGUGGUGUUGAUGAGGGGGAGGAUCUGAGAAAUGCAGCCACAAGAGAAUUGAGAGAAGAAUCAGGUGUUACCUCGACAGAAUUUCUUGCAGAGGCACCUUAUUGGCUGACUUAUGAUUUUCCACUUAAAGUCAAAGAUAGACUUAAUCGUCACUGGAGAACAAAUUAUAAAGGUCAAGCACAUAAGUGUGGCUAUUCAUGUACAUAAACACAUUGAGGCAUGGCUUUGUUGGUUUUCUUUUUUAAGGCUUUUGUCUGCCUGAGAACCAAAAAAAAACCAAACGCGAAGGCAAAAAGAAAGAGAGAGAGAGAGAGGGAGAGAGACAGUUUCAGUUUGUUUAAUCACACACUCAUUGACAGCUCUUUUCAUUAAUUUUAUCUUUAUCUUCUUCUUCUUCUAUUUUUUAUGUUUAUUUCUUGGUUUUCGAUUUUAUCAUCAGAAGCGCCCCUGUUAUUUACAGUUUUGAUUUGAUUAAUCUACAGAUCGAACGGUUUCAAUUCCACAUGGAUUGAUCUUUCAUUUAGAUCUUCGUCGUUAUCAUCCGUUUUGAUUCAGUAGCUGAACAGAGAGAUUGCACAGAUAGCCGAAUUUGUGUUGUAAGUUUUUUCACUUUUCAUGUUUUGGUUUUUAUUGCCGUUUUAUUGGUUCUGUGAUUGAUUUUUUUUAAAAAUUAAUUUACGCAUGUAUGGAUAGUGAAUUUUAGUGUAGGAUUAACAGUGGAAUGUAGAGAUAGAUUUGACUCUCUGUUUUUGCCAAAACUGUGUUGGUUGGUUCUGUCGUUUGGUUAACUUUAGAGUUUCAAAGUCAGAGCUUGCAUAAGGGAGUUGUGUCUUUUUUCUGUUUUAAGUACAACUGGGCAAACACCAUCAACAUUUACCGAUGCUAACAGGGUAAGCAUCUGAGAACAAGUUAUGGCAGCCUGAGAGUUGGCUAUAAAUGAAUUGAGCUGAUGGAAUCUAUGCUUCCUUCUUUCAUUUGUAUAUUUAUAUACAUAUAAUUUCUUGAUGGGUAGUCGGUAGGAUAGAUUUAUACAAGUUAUUAAAAUUUCGAUCUCUUAUUGCUG